AAGUCGUAACAAGGUCUCCGUAGGUGAACCUGCGGAGGGAUCAUUCACAUGAUAUACUUGAAACAAACUGUGAACUUUAUAAAUACUAUUCGUGUUUUUUAUCAGUUUUACUGUAUAAUAAACAUCGUCAUUCGAUUGAACAUAAGAUAGUUGGCUUGAAAUGUAACAAUUUCUUUCUCAGCUUUGAUUUGAUAGAACUCAACAUUUUAUCACUUCAACCAUAAAACAUAGAAACAACUCUAUGCCCUGGAUAUCUUGGUUCUC
rnacentral:misc_RNA from 1 species